UGGUCAGUAUGCUGAUUCCCCAACCGAAGAGGACAAAUGAAUUGCUCAUAUUUGGCUGGAGAAAAGACCCAGUUGCUUGAGUUACUGUACAUCACCAACAGUUGUGGCAGCAACACACAUUUGUUUUCAAAAUGUAUGUGAACUCUCCUGGAGCUAACGCUGGAUCCUUAACGGUGACCUUUCUGGGAAAGAAAGUAGGACGACAUAAUUCUGUGGCCCCUGUGGGGAAGAAAUGUGCCUGGCAGGGAAACAGACCAUCUAUCCCCCAAGAGGAAUCCAUAGUUUCUCCAAAGCCUGGAUUGCUCCCAGAGACUACAGAUGACAUGAACCUACCAGGAAGUGUGCCACAGUUUAUGGAUGCGAGGUCUAGCCAUGUAGACCAGAGAAGGAACAAUAUAGGAGGUCAAUUACUAUAAAACUGUGAUGAAAUAGACUGAGGACAUUUAAUACUUAACUGCAACCGGGGGGUUCUUUGAAAAGAUACAAAAUAGAAAAUGUGCAAUGUUAUUGUCUACUUUUUCCAACAAUAUAAAAAAUGUAACAUGGCAGGCAAUAAAGAGACAUGAAUGUGAGAUGAUGUUCAUAAAUUUUAUAGAUUCAAUGACAUUUGUGGAUAAGUAUUCACUUGCUUUGUCAUACAGUUGUAUAUCACGACUCAAUGUGAUAAAUAUUGUCUUAUAGGCUUCCACUGCAACCUGGUCAUCCUGAA